rnacentral:rRNA from 1 species
AUCUAUGACUAUAGCACUAUGAACAUGUCCAAUAUAGACUGAUGUCUGAUCUCUAAAGCUAAUUCAGGUGGGGCCUGGUUAGUAAUUGGAUAGGACACUGCUUGGGAAUACUAGGUGUUGUAGGCU